UACGUAGGGUGCAAGCGUUAAUCGGAAUUACUGGGCGUAAAGCGUGCGCAGGCGGUUUUGUAAGUCUGUCGUGAAAGCCCCGGGCUCAACCUGGGAAUUGCGUUGGAGACUGCAAGGCUGGAGUCUGGCAGAGGGGGGUAGAAUUCCACGUGUAGCAGUGAAAUGCGUAGAGAUGUGGAGGAACACCGAUGGCGAAGGCAGCCCCCUGGGUCAAGACUGACGCUCAUGCACGAAAGCGUGGGGAGCAAACAGG
rnacentral:rRNA from 1 species